GAGUUUGAUCCUGGCUCAGAAUGAACGCUGGCGGCGUGCCUAACACAUGCAAGUCGGAUGUGCCCGCAAGGGUGCAUGGCAGACGGGUGAGUAACGCGUGGAAAACCUACCUCUUUGUGGGGAAUAACGCUCCGAAAGGAGUGGUAAUACCGCAUGAGACCAUGGCCUGGGAUGGCCAUGGUGAAACCUGGGGACCGCAAGGCCUGGGGCAAGGAGAGGGUUCUGCGUCUGAUUAGCUAGUUGGUGGGGUAACGGCCUACCAAGGCGACGAUCAGUAGCCGGCCUGAGAGGGUGAUCGGCCACACUGGAACUGAGACACGGUCCAGACUCCUACGGGAGGCAGCAGUGGGGAAUUUUGCGCAAUGGGCGAAAGCCUGACGCAGCAACGCCGCGUGGGUGAUGAAGGUCUUCGGAUCGUAAAACCCUGUCGUCAGGGACGAAGGUCAGCCUUUGAAUAGGGGGUUGGCUUGACGGUACCUGGAGAGGAAGCCCCGGCUAACUCUGUGCCAGCAGCCGCGGUAAUACAGAGGGGGCAAGCGUUAUUCGGAAUUAUUGGGCGUAAAGGGCGCGUAGGCGGUGUUUUAAGUGAGAUGUGCAAUCCCCGGGCUUAACCUGGGAACUGCAUCUCAGACUGGAACGCUGGAGUGCUGGAGAGGGUGGUAGAAUUCCACGUGUAGCGGUGAAAUGCGUAGAGAUGUGGAGGAAUACCAGUGGCGAAAGCGGCCACCUGGACAGUAACUGACGCUGAGGCGCGAAAGUGUGGGUAGCAAACAGGAUUAGAUACCCUGGUAGUCCACGC
rnacentral:rRNA from 1 species